rnacentral:rRNA from 1 species
CAUGCAAGUCGAGCGGUAGAUGCUUUCGGGCAUUGAGAGCGGCGGACGGGUGAGUAACGCGUGGGAAUCUGGCUCUUAGAGGGGGACAACUUGUGGAAACGCAAGCUAAUACCGCAUACGCCCUAAGGGGGAAAGCAGGGGAUCUUCGGACCUUGCGCUAAGAGAUGAGCCCGCGUCGGAUUAGCUAGUUGGUAGGGUAAAGGCCUACCAAGGCGACGAUCCGUAACUGGUCUGAGAGGAUGAUCAGUCACACUGGAACUGAGACACGGUCCAGACUCCUACGGGAGGCAGCAGUGGGGAAUAUUGGACAAUGGGGGCAACCCUGAUCCAGCCAUGCCGCGUGUGUGAAGAAGGCCUUCGGGUUGUAAAGCACUUUAAGUUGGGAGGAAAGGGUGCUGGCUAAUAUCCAGUAUCUAUGACGUUACCAACAGAAUAAGCACCGGCUAACUCCGUGCCAGCAGCCGCGGUAAUACGGAGGGUGCAAGCGUUAAUCGGAAUUACUGGGCGUAAAGCGCGCGUAGGCGGCUAGUUAAGCUAGAUGUGAAAUCCCUGGGCUCAACCUGGGAACUGCAUUUAGAACUGACUGGCUAGAGUGCAGAAGAGGAGUGUGGAAUUUCCGGUGUAGCGGUGAAAUGCGUAGAGAUCGGAAGGAACAUCAGUGGCGAAGGCGACACUCUGGUCUGACACUGACGCUGAGGUG